AUGCACUUAAUCAGUUGUAUAAACUCACACAAGUGUAGUUUUGAUUGAAAUCACUAAAUGUUGUUGAACCCCUUCGUAUGGAUCAAACUCUGUAGUUGGGACUGUAGGCUUGCUUUCUUUCAUCUUUAAACUAUCCCUCAAAAUGUCAGCAUUAGCUAGGAGCCUGUUAGAAGUGCACAAUCUAAGAGCAACUAAAUUGGUAUCUGCAUUUUAACAUAAUCCCCAAGUGAUCUGUAAACACGUUAAAAUUUGAGACACAAUGGUCUAGAGCAAAGGUUCUCAAACUUCAGCUUAAUCACAUCCAUCUGGAUGGUUUAUUAUGGGGUCUGCCUUGAAGAACCUCUGGUUUAGAGGAUACAAAAGAGGUCUUUGCCUUUGAGCAUUUUAUAACAUACCUGAGAAGCGAAUUGAGAUGCAUUGGAUCAUUAAAGAGUUGAGUGCUAAUCUGUGUGAGUUCGAGUUUAAGGCAGUUGAGAAAGCAAAGAUGAAUGUGGAGUUGAGUUGUCAGGAAAAGAAAGGUCCAUUGCCUGGGAAAGGUGGUACCACUGAUGAAAUUGAGAAAGGUGGAAAAUAUAACCAAUUUUUAAGAAAAUAUAAUAUGUUUCAUCACAGAUAUACUGAGCUAUAGAGACUGAUGGACCAAAAGAAAACUCAUACUACUCAUGCUGCAAAUGCAUGAUUCUAGCUCAAGAUAAGAAUUAAAAGACUGUUCACAUCUGGAGGGCAGGAAGCUUACCUUAUUCUUCCAUCCCCAGUGCUAGUGGUAUACCUGGCACGCAACUUUUUGCUGGCUUAAUGAAUAAAUGAAUUUAGAUGUGCUCCUUAAAGCCAUGAUGACCAUUCACAAAUGUUCCCACUAGGUGUAUUUAGUCUUUGACAGGAGAAAACAGGAAUAAUCAGAAAGCUUGAGCCAAAACUAUAAAUCUUUAAUAGUGGAUUUUCCAGCCCAGAGGAAGCCCAGAAGAAAAAUAUUUUUGGUGGGAAACAUUUAACUUCCUCCAUUACCUAUGAAUAAGGCUAUUAUAUAGGGAACUCUAUAUACAUUCAUUCCAUUUUUUUAAUGUUUGUCAUGUGUUUUGCUAGGAGAAAAAUUGUUAGCAAUCUUAAACACUCCCAGAAAAGCUUUUAAAAUGAAUUUGAACCUUAUGAUUUUCCCAUUAUGGUUACUGAAAAGCAUUGGGUGCUACUGCCUAGAAAGUCUCCUUCUCCCAGCCAAGAAAAACCUGCAUAUUGUGGGAAGUUUUAUAGAGAGAAACGUGGUUUCUAGCCAAUUCUUCUAUAACUAUCCAUCACAUCUUUUGAUGUCCAGUCUUUCUCCUUGGAGCCUAGUUUAUAUAAACAAGGUUGAGUUUGCUUUACUGCUACCAUGCUGAAGUUUGUGUCAGAGUCAGUAUGCUCCAUUGCUGUUAAACUAAUUAUUUAUCUUAAGGUAAUAUUUGCUGACUUGGGGGUCUUGGGAUGUGACAUGAUCUUAUAUCCGGUCAUUCAAAGUAACAAAAAAGAUGAUUAAAUAUGUGAUCCAGCUUUCAAUAGAAUAGCAAAAGGGUUAGAGGAAAGAGACAAUCAUAGCACCUUCUCCCCCACUGAAAUAUGAUGGGUGAAUUGUACACACAAAGGGCCAGCUUUUAUGUUAAGCUUUAAUCAAAUGUAUCAUGCUUUAUUAUUUCAUAAGCAUGCUGUAGUAUAUAAAAUAUUUAUGUAAAAUAUUAAUUCAACUUAAACCUCUUUGUGGGGGUUUCUGACUUGGUGAAUGGUUUUCCCCUUUACUCUGUUAUGAUCAGGCAGUUUUCAUACUUAUGAACACAUUAUAUACUCCACCCAUACCUAGAAAUGUCUAUCCCUUCUAUUUCCUACCUUCUGAACUAGAAUCCCCCACUCCUAUUGUUUUGGGAGUCACCAUAAAAAAAAAUCAAUGGGAGUUCCUGUCAUGGCACAGUGGAAAUGAAUCCAACUAGGAACCAUGAGGUUACAGGUUCGAUCCCUGGCCUUGCUCAGUGGGUUAAGGAUCCGGUGUUGCCCUGAGCUCUGGUGUAGGUCACAGACACAGCUCAGAUCUGGUAUUGCUGUGGCUCUGGCAUAGGCCGGCAGCUACAGCUCUGGUUCGACCCUUACCCUGGGAACCUCCAUAUGCCAAGAGUGUGGCCCUCAAAGGACAAAAAGACCAAAAAAAAAAGAAAGGAAGGAAGGAAGAAAUCAAUGACUUUUAAAUAGCUUAUAGGCAAAAGGUGGAAAAGAAUAAAUAAAAGCAGCUUAGAGGAGUUGACCCUGUUUUCCUCAUCAGAAUUACAUUAAUCCUAGAUUCAUUUAGGUUAGAAAAGCAUCUUCUCUUUAAAAUGUGAAUACCAAUUUGAAGGUUGUGUGACUAUUUUCCAAUACAUUUGAGCCUCAUUUGCUUGACCAUAUUGCUUUCCUCUUAAUGAUGGACUGAAUGAAUUGCACUCAGGAUUGGGAGUUUGGACUAUGUUAAGGGAGGCAGAUAACCAUGGAUGGUAUAUAGAGCUAUUGGUGGUGUGGGGGGAUCAGACAUUAAUCUCAUGCUGCAGUGGUACAUUGAGGGUAACAUAGAAGUUCUAAGGAUUGAGGCUAAAUGACAGGAAAGAACUACAGAAAGCAAGAUAAGGAGGUAAGUUCAAAAUUAAAUUUCAAGUUGUUUUGCUAAUCCAAAAAUAGAAAAGAAAUAUUUUUGUCCUUCUUCACAUACCCCAAAGGUCUUUUCUCAGAAUUUUGGUUAGUGUUCAUUAAUAAAAGAAUUACUGUCUUGCCUAUCUUUUGUUAGUAAGUUCUUAGAUGCACAAACAAUCAUUUCAAGCUUGUGUUUCUCAACAACAUGCCUGUUCCCAAUGUAAACUACCUUAGGUGCAAAAAGAUCCCUUUCCACAGUAUUUACAGCUCAUGAGAUUAUGAAAUCAUACACACAAAGGUAGGGAAGAUAUUUGUUUGAGUGCAAACACAGACUUAGAAACUUCAAACCAUCAAUGAUACUAUCACAAUUCUGAUAACUAAGUUGGUGAGACUGGAUUCUAUUGUGAGCUUUCCAUCACUUCCCAAAAGAUCACCAAAAUAGCUGAAGCACUGAAGUAAAAUGAAGUUGCAAACGUCCAAGAAAGAUUAAAAUAUGUUGCAGUGCUAAAUUGAAAACUAAUUCAAGGGAGCGAAGUGUACAUGAGACAUGGUUCCUCCCCAGCUCUCCACCCCAAUCCUUGAAACAUGCUGAACAAAUCAUUUGGCUCAAGAAGUUGUGGUGCUACUCACAAUGGCCUUAUCACCAGGGAAAAAUUAAGGACAAACUUUGUUCUGAAAAUCAGAAGACAUUUUGUACCAUGUUCAAAGUCCUCACUACACUCUGCAGAAUAGAUUGCCUGUGGCUUACUGCCUAUUGCUUAUUGGGUUGAGUUAAAUUGAAAAAACUGGGAAAGCCCAUUGUUGUACUAUUUUAGAGUUAAAAAGAAAGCAAACUAGGAAGCUUCAGUUCAGAGUCUUAGUGUUCAGGAAAUUAGUUGAGAUAUACAUAUUAUAAAUAUAUAUUCAUAUAUAUUAUGUAUUCUAUAAUGUAUAAUGUAUGAAUAUAAUAUGUAUUAUCCAAUCAGGAUAAUAAAUACAACUUUUAAUUACCUGUCUCAGAGACAUAGUUCUGGUUUGAUCAAGCAGCCUUCAAGCCAGACGUAUUAGUCACAUAAUUACUUUAGCCAGAGCCAUUUGAACUGUCCAUGUGAUGGAAAACAAAUGCUUUGAAUGUGAGUCUUUUCUAGUUUUGACAGGAUAGACCAAAUAAUUUUUUUUGAGAAAUGUUUCAUUGUGGGGUAAGGUUAGGCAAUAAGGACCUUGCCAGUUACCCACAUUCACUUUUGGAAAGGCUCUAUGCCCUUUCCAAAGCCAUUUGCUUGCUUUAAUGAAUGCAUAGACUGAAAACAGAUUGAAUACUAAAUCCAGAGAAUAUUAAAUUAUUAUUUAGUGAAGACGUUUGCAGGACACAAAAUUAAACUGUAGCAAUAUUCUACAAGACGAUAUGAUUACAGACAGAGAGAGAGAGAGAGAAUGAUCGAGCUAUUUUAACACUCUUGGGAUUUAAAGUUAACAUAACCAGUUUCAGAAGCAUACAUUUAUGCUUGAGGGUCUAGUGUACCUGAGAACAUGAUACUCCCAUAGGAAUUUAUUUAGCUUCCAAAUGAUCCAUUAAGAAAGUUAUAAAAGUAUAAGAAAUGUCCCCAACUACUGUUUAGCAAGCAAUCUUUUUAGUACUUGUAGGUAAGCCCAAAAGACACUAGUGUAUAACUAUAAUAAAAGUUUUGUGUUCCAGAACUUUUGCCAAGAUCAUUUAUAUCUUAUUUUGUUAACUGUACUUUUCAGAAUUGCCUAGGUUCUUUGCUUUCUGCACCAACUUCCCCCUCCAAAAAUGGAGAGAAACAUCCCCUCUAAGAAGGUUUUCUUCCUUCCAACAAAGAGGCUAACAUUUGUGCAUACAUACAUUCCCUUUUGCCUAAUUCUAAAGAUGUAUAAGAAGAGACCACAAAUUCAUUUACCUGCUAGGAGCCACUAUAUGUAAAACAAAGAUGUUUCAAACUGGCAACAUUUUAACUCAUCUCUGGAUCAUUUUUUAUGUGCAUUCCUUGGAGAUAAUAAGUAAUUGUUCUUUUAAAACAUCUUUGUCAUGAUUAUUAACUAAAUCUUGAACAUCACUUUAGGGUUGUUAGAAGCACAUAAUUAGACCCAACAGUUUCUCAUCAGUCUGGGGAAUCUCAAAGGCUAAGCUAAUUUCUUGUUAUUUAGACUGACUAAAAGUUCCAUCCUAAAGUAAAUCACAAGUCUCUAUUUAAGGCCAAAUGAAAUUCAAAAUUUUACUUAAAAAGAUAUCAAUGAAUGACUUAGUAUUACAUAAUAACAAAUUGCCAAGAAUGUUAUUAUAUGCAUAUAUGGUUUUUAAAAAUCUAUAGCUGAUUCCUUCCUACCGUUUC
rnacentral:lncRNA from 1 species